UGCUCGCACGCCGCGGCUCCUUGCCCAAUCGCAUCCACACCAGGCGAACCCUAGCCUCCUUUCCCCCGAUCCCCCAGCCGCCGAACGGCCUCGCUCCUCCUUCCCUCCUGCUGCGCCCUCUCCUCGCUCGCAGCCGCUUCCUUUACACCUCCGCCCGAGCUCCGCCUUCCUCGCCGACCUCCCUCCUCCUGCCUCCUCCCUCCCGCGCCUCUCCCUCCUCCUGCCUCCUCCCUCCCACGCCUCUCCCUCCUCCUGCCUCCUCUCUCCCGCUUCACCACAGCCGCCGAUCCCCUCCCUCCCUGUCCAUCCUCUCCCUCUCGUUAGCCGCUGCUGCACGAACCUCUCGGAUGGGUGCCGGGUAGAAGGUCGCGCCGAGUCUGCCAUGAAGGAAGCAGCAGGGACUUGGUGGAUGUGUUUGCUCUGCAGGGGAGUGAAAGAAGGAGAUGAGGGAGAAAGAGAGAGGAAAGAGGAGACGGAAGUGCGGCGGUUGAUGGGACAUGGUUGACGGCGGCUCGAUCAGCUCUUGGAUUGAGAGCUGCCAGGAGGCUGGGGCUUGGGCGCGAUGCACGGGAGGCUGCAGUCCACCUCUUCCUUGUGGUGCAGCGGACACCGACAUCAGCGGGUGGGUGACAGACCGCGGCCUCAGCGGGUGGGCGACUACACCUGCAGCUGGUGCUAUACCCAUGGAUUCCGGCACAACUCGAAACAUUCAGGUGAUUGAAGGUACGAGCAUACAUAUAACAUGGGUUGCCAUGAAAGAUGUCUUCCCAUCUCAGGUGAUGAAGAUGGCGUACCUUUAUUUUUUGACACAAGUACUGAUCGGUGUUGGAAUUGGGCUUUAUAAACUUGGCUUUCCAGCAGUUGGUUUUCCUCCAUCGCCUGCUUAUUUUCCCUCUUCGAAGAGUGAAUAAAAGAUACAUGAUGAAAUACAGGUAGACAAGUGUGUGGAAAUUGGACUUCCAGAACUCAUCCUAAUGGUCGCAUUUUCUCAGGUACACAUUACAAAUUUUUAUGAAUUUCUGCUGGACCAAACCAUUGUUUAAAUGGUUUUGAAUGAGGUGAUGUUGUACUAAUCAUGUUUGUUUCCUAGAUGAUAAUUUCCUCAUCUGUUGCAUUCUGGAAAGUGUCUUUGGUCGGUUUUUUGUUCUUUUCACUGUUUCAAUCGUGUGACUAUACACAUGUAUCCUCACAAUUAGUGGCGCUUACAAGAAUGGCAGGCCUACUUGUAGCUUUUCUUAUGUAGUUAAAUAAAACAACCUAGGGUCUCACACUUUACUUCCUUUCUAAUAUAAUAAGGCUGCUAUUGCCUGUUAAUACUUCACACUGGUGAUGAGCUUUACACCAGUUAUAGUUCAUCGAUUAUCUUCUGCCUUUCUAAUAAACAUAAUUAUAUGUUAAUUUGCUAUAUUGUUUUCUUACUUCUUUUUAUCAAACUGCCAUAUAUGAUACACAAAGAAGCAUUUACCUGAAGGCGCUAAUAGCGUUUUCACAUAGAAUUUGUUCUUUUUUUGCUCCCUUAAUUAGAUGCUCAAGAAACCUGAUAAGCGUCACGUUGAUUCAGACUUGGUGCUAGAUAUGUUGGCCCCCAUUUAUCCUUGACAAGUACCAUAUUCUCAAAUCUAUAUGGUUAGUUGUACUUCUUUUAUGUUGGAGCUACAGAUGCAUCUCGGUCAUUUAUGGAAACUAAAAUCUGCAUCUUCAGCUCAUAGUUUGCCAAAAUUUCUUGAGAUUUAUUCAUAUUGUUCUUAGGUACUUCAAGUCAAACUUUCUUGAGAUUUAUUCAUGUUGUUCUUAGGUACUUCAAAUCAAACUCUACAUGCAAUUGAUGGGGCUACAUGAUAGUCACUUUAAUAUAUCUUCUUGGAAGCCACUUAGUGUUUCCAUGAAUAAUUGUUGCUGGUCUGUUGCACGCCUUCAUUUUUUGGUGGGCUACUUCCUGCCUGGUGUGGUUGAAGAAUUUUCAGAGGCAUGGUUCGUCUUGCGUGCAACUUUUAGUUUGAGUUUCUAUUGACACAUUACAUUUCCUUUUCCUGUAGACCUCUCCUUUUUCAUUUUAUUAUACCUGGGUGUAAUAGCAAGGCGUCUAUAAUCAUUUUGUUCAACUAUAAUCCGAUGCAAAAAACUUCUGUUUAGUCCUCAUAGUUCAUCCAUUAUAUGUUUGCUUUCAAACCAAAGAAAUCGGGGGUCCAGGUUCUGAUCAUGCUCCGAUUGAGUCUAUGUAGCCGUCCUUGGGUUUUUUUCUAUACGCUUGCAUCAUCUAGGUUCUGACCAUGGCACAAUCUUGUUUCAAAUUUGUUCUCCUAUAUGUAUGCGUUGGGAUGAUUGAUGAGGCGUAUUGGUGGAAAUAAAUCUGAAGCAAAUAAGAGCUGCGAGCAACUGGUUGUGCCCCUAUCAACCUGCUCAAUAUUUGUGUUGUUUUCCUGUCAGUCGAAUGCCCGCUAUUCAGCAAACAGGUAUAUCCAUUUCUUAAAUCCCUUUCUCUAUUCAACGCCCAGUUAAUACGUGGUUAGGAAUCAGAUAAAUUUUACUCAUAUAAUUUCAUAUAUCUACAAUACCGUGUCCAGAUAGCUUAGAAACCAGCGUUAGAAAGGACCUGAUACACAUUACAAUUAUGGACUGUUGAUCUACCUGAUGCAUUUCUUCACGAUGGUCGGUUCCCUUUCUCCAGAUCUUACAUAUUUAGUUAUGUGAGUUCGGAAGCCAAAACUGAUUGAGAUCUUUUGUUCUUACUUGCAGAUGUUCUGUUAUUCAGAGUACUUCAGUUUCCAGUCUCUAUAUAUUAAUCAAAUUAUGGGUUAUUUUGAACCUUAUAGGCUUUUAUAUUAUGUUCAGUUAUGCUUCCAUGGGUUUUUCAUAUGUAUUAACAAAAGAACCAGACUACUAUUUUGUUUAUACUUGAAUCAAAGGACGUAUAAUUAAUUUGCUAUUAUGGAAGGACUGAGUAGGCAGCUAGCUGAAUGAGAGGACAAUCAUGACAAGCAAACCAACACAUAAAUAGUAAUCCCACAAUUUUUUACAACUGCAUUCCAAUGAACUUUGGUAUGGAUAUGCAUUUUUAUCCUUGGGAGUACUUUGGAUUUUAAGUGGGAAUCAUAGUUCUUUUCUUCUUAACUUUGGUAUGGCAAGCAAUGCAGGUGAUAUGCCUAAUGGUUGUUGCUGACGCUGAAAAAAACUACUCUUGAAGCACUAGAAGUGCCCUCUCUAUGGUGCAUCACUCACUGGAUCCAGAUGGGCAACCUUCCGCUUCAAAAUUAGAAGAGCGCAUUUUUUGCCUGUUGUCAUUGCUUACAAAGAGGUUCUCAAAUUAUUUUUGUGGGCAAGAUAAAACUUAAAAGGUGAUCUGGGACAAGUGGAAGGAGGGAAGCCGCUGUAAGAUCGAUAAUAACUUGUCGACAAGAGCAUGUUCGUUCAGACGUUUCCUUACUAAAAGUUAUUUAUCUGUAGCAAGUGUUUCUAUUGGAACUAUCAAAUCCAAACUCCUAGGUGUCUAUGUCAGGAUGUAGGACUUUGUCCGGGCAGAGAUAUCCCCUUUGAUCUUUUCGUGAAUCCUUUCACACUUCUUUCUAUAAAGUGCUGCUGAUUGUUCAAAAAACAAUAUAAUUCAAGCUCCUAGAAGAGCUUGUUCAUUCAGACCUUUCCUUACAUUUUAACUAUGACAGUGACCUCUUUUA